rfam:Catenibacterium sp. CAG:290 genomic scaffold, scf39
UUGGCAAAUAGAGGUGCAUGCGUUAAGAAUUCGUUAUUAAUGGAUACAGCCAGAUAAUGAAGGGGGAGCAAAUGCCGAAGAGACAGGGAACUGUAUAUGAACUGUUAUCUGGGGGAUAAGAGAAGAUCUUAUUCACUGUCACAAAAUAUUUGUGGUGCGCUAUUGAAUAU